GACGAACGCUGGCGGCGUGCUUAACACAUGCCAGUCGAACGGAAAGGCCCUGCUUUUGUGGGGUGCUCGAGUGGCGAACGGGUGAGUAACACGUGAGUAACCUGCCCUUGACUUUGGGAUAACUUCAGGAAACUGGGGCUAAUACCGGAUAGGAGCUCCUGCUGCAUGGUGGGGGUUGGAAAGUUUCGGCGGUUGGGGAUGGACUCGCGGCUUAUCAGCUUGUUGGUGGGGUAGUGGCUUACCAAGGCUUUGACGGGUAGCCGGCCUGAGAGGGUGACCGGCCACAUUGGGACUGAGAUACGGCCCAGACUCCUACGGGAGGCAGCAGUGGGGAAUAUUGCACAAUGGGCGGAAGCCUGAUGCAGCAACGCCGCGUGCGGGAUGACGGCCUUCGGGUUGUAAACCGCUUUCGCCUGUGACGAAGCGUGAGUGAUGGUAAUGGGUAACGAAGCACCGGCUAACUACGUG
rnacentral:rRNA from 1 species